AAAGGAAUAGACGGGGGCCCGCACAAGCAGUGGAGUAUGUGGUUUAAUUCGAAGCAACGCGAAGAACCUUACCAGGGCUUGACAUCCCGCGCAUAGCCAAGAGAUUGGUGAAGUCCUACGGACGCGGAGACAGGUGGUGCAUGGUUGUCGUCAGCUCGUGUCGUGAGAUGUUGGGUUAAGUCCCGCAACGAGCGCAACCCCUGUUGUUAGUUGCCAUCAUUAAGUUGGGCACUCUAACAAGACUGCCGGUGACAAAUCGGAGGAAGGUGGGGACGACGUCAAAUCAUCAUGCCCCUUAUGUCCUGGGCUACACACGUACUACAAUGGCCGGAACAGAGGGAAGCAAGGGAGCAAUCCGGAGCGAAUCCCCAAAACCGGUCUCAGUUCGGAUUGUGGGCUGAAACCCGCCCACAUGAAGUCGGAAUUGCUAGUAAUGGCAGGUCAGCAUACUGCCGUGAAUACGUUCCCGGGCCUUGUACACACCGCCCGU
rnacentral:rRNA from 1 species